AGAUUGAACGCUGGCGGCAUGCCUUACACAUGCAAGUCGAACGGCAGCACGGGAGCAAUCCUGGUGGCGAGUGGCGAACGGGUGAGUAAUACAUCGGAACGUGCCCAAUCGUGGGGGAUAACGCAGCGAAAGCUGUGCUAAUACCGCAUAAGAUCUACGGAUGAAAGCAGGGGAUCGCAAGACCUUGCGCGAAUGGAGCGGCCGAUGGCAGAUUAGGUAGUUGGUGAGGUAAAGGCUCACCAAGCCUUCGAUCUGUAGCUGGUCUGAGAGGACGACCAGCCACACUGGGACUGACGACACGGCCCAGACUCCGUACGGGAGGCAGCAGGUGGGAAUUUUGGACAAGUGGGCGAAAGCCUGAUCCAGCCAUGCCGCGUGGCAGGAUGAAGGUCCGUUCGGUUGUAAACGUUGUCGUUUUGUAACGGUAACGAAAGUUCUUCUUUACUAAUAAAGAGG
rnacentral:rRNA from 1 species